rnacentral:rRNA from 1 species
GGGUCACCGUUUGUUAAGCGCAAAUAUGGAUGACUGUUUUUGCUGACUUCAUUGUUUGGCUUAUAAGAGUUAUCAAAUAUCACUUUGAUUAAAUUAGAGUGCUUAAAGCAAGUGUUUUACUUGAAUAUAAAUGCAUGGAAUGAUGGAAUAUGUUGUUGUUCUAUUUGUUGGUUUUUGAACGAUGAAAUGAUUGAAAGGAACUGUUGGGGGCAUUCGUAUUGUUGUGAGAGAGGUGAAAUUCUUAGACCACAGCAAGACGAACUACUGCGAAAGCAUUUGCCAAGAAUGUUUUCAUUGAUCAAGAACGAAAGUCAGAGGUUCGAAGGCGAUCAGAUACCGCUCUAGUUCUAACCAUAAACUAUGCCAACUAGCAAUUUGGUUAUGUAUGUUUUAUGACUAGGUGAGAGGCCACGGGAAACCAAAGUAGGGUUAUGGGGGAAGUAUGGUUGCAAAGCUGAAACUUAAAGGAAUUGACGGAAGGGCACCACCAGGAGUGGAGCCUGCGGCUUAAUUUGACUCAACACGGGAAAACUUACCUGGUCCUGACACUAGAAGGAUUGACAGAUUGAUAGCUCUUUCUUGAUUUGGUGGAUGGUGGUGCAUGGGCCGUUCUUAGUUGGUGGAGUGAUUUUGUCUGGUUAAUUCCGAUAACGAACGAGACUCUAGCCUAUUAAAUAACACACAGAAUCAUGUCUUAUGCGGUGUUUCUUAAUGGGAUCAAGUG